UACGGAGGGGGCUAGCGUUGUUCGGAAUUACUGGGCGUAAAGCGCACGUAGGCGGAUGUUUAAGUCGGGGGUGAAAUCCCGGGGCUCAACCCCGGAACUGCCUUCGAUACUGGAUGUCUGGAGUCCGAGAGAGGUGAGUGGAAUUCCCAGUGUAGAGGUGAAAUUCGUAGAUAUUCGGAGGAACACCAGUGGCGAAGGCGGCUCACUGGCUCGGUACUGACGCUGAGGUGCGAAAGCGUGGGGAGCAAACAGG
rnacentral:rRNA from 1 species